CCUACGGGUGGCAGCAGUGGGGAAUAUUGCGCAAUGGUCGAAAGCCUGACGCAGCGACGCCGCGUGAGGGAUGAAGGUCUUCGGAACGUAAAACUCUGUUAGCAGGGAAGAACGGUCACUGUGCUAAUCAGCAGUGAGUUUACGGUACCUGCAAAGGAAGCAUCGGCUAACUCCGUGCCAGGAGCCGCGGUAAUACGGAGGGUGCGAGUGGUAAUAGGAAUUACUGGGCGUAAAGGGCGCGUAGGUGGUAUGUCAAGGCCAGGGUGAAGUCCCCGGGCUGCACGCGGGAACUGCCUUUGAAACUGGCAGACUGGAGUUUGUGAGAGGGAUGCGGAAUUCCCGGUGUAGGGGUGAAAUCCGUAGAUAUCUGGAGGAACAUCGAUGGCGAAGGCAGCAAUCCGGCUCCUCACUGACGCUGAGGAGCGAAAGCGUGGGUAGCAAACAGGAUUAGAUACCCUAGUAGUC
rnacentral:rRNA from 1 species